AUGGACUUCAAUGGUGGCCAACGGGCUGAAGGUCUAAAUCUCAGUUUCAGUGCAGCUUCAAUGAUCAAAGCUGAUGAAUCUAGUGAAACUAUUGAAACCUCUAUUGCUGAUACAAUUCAACCACUGUCUUCAGAAAAAUAUGUUGUUGAGGGUAAAAAUGUGACACUGUCCUGUAAUUACAGUACCAGUACUGGCAAUGUUAACUCUCUCCAGUGGUAUCGACAGUAUCUCAGAGCAAAACCAGAGUUCCUACUUUUUCUUGAUGAAUAUUCUGAUUCUGAGCCUGAUCGUCGUCUGUAUUCAAAAGCUACAAAAGAAAUCAAACGUGUGGAUCUGGAGAUCUCCUCUGCUGCUGUAUCAGACUCUGCUCUGUAUUACUGUGCUCUGGAGCCCACAGUCACAGGAAACACAAGAACACUCUACAAAAUCCUUUCCUCAAAAAAUGAGAAUGAGAUGUGA